rnacentral:rRNA from 1 species
UACGUAGGGUGCGAGCGUUAAUCGGAAUUACUGGGCGUAAAGCGUGCGCAGGCGGUUCGUUAUGUCCGUUGUGAAAGCCCCGGGCUCAACCUGGGAACUGCGCUUGUAACUGGCAAGCUAGAGUGUGGCAGAGGGGGGUGGAAUUCCACGUGUAGCAGUGAAAUGCGUAGAGAUGUGGAGGAACACCGAUGGCGAAGGCAGCCCCCUGGGCUAACACUGACGCUCAUGCACGAAAGCGUGGGGAGCAAACAGG